rnacentral:rRNA from 1 species
AAUCAACGCUGGCGGCGUGCCUCAGACAUGCAAGUCGAACGCGAAAGUCCCCUUCGGGGGACAAGUAGAGUGGCGCACGGGUGAGUAACACGUAGGUAAUCUACCUUCGGAUGGGGAAUAACAACCGGAAACGGUUGCUAAUACCGCAUAAUGCAGCGGCACCUAAUGGUGACAGUUGUUAAAGCGGGGGAUCGAAAGACCCCGCGUCUGAAGAGGAGCCUGCGGCGGAUUAGCUAGUUGGAAGGUAAUGGCUUACCAAGGCGACGAUCCGUAGCCGGCCUGAGAGGGCGGUCGGCCACACUGACACUGACAUACGGGUCAGACUCCUACGGGGAGGCAGCAGUCGGGAACUUUGGGCAAUGGGCGAAAGCCCUGACCCAGCAAACGCCCGCGUGAAGGAUGAAAUCCCUCGGGAUGUAAACUUCGCGAGAACGGGAAGAA